rnacentral:ncRNA from 2 species
AAGCUCUGGAGAAUCUCGAAAAGAGUGCCGAAGGUGCAAGACGGUUUUGCCGUCGAAUCUCUCAGGCCAAAGGACAGAGCAGG